CACGGCAUCGGGUUCUUUAUUCUUUGCCAAUAUUCUGUUUUAUACAAGAAGCACCAGUAGCUUGUCUAAAAAGAAAUUUGAAAUAAAGUGACAAAGGGAAACAUUAGACAAAAUUAUGGUUUAGGCUGGGCAUGGUGGCUCAUGCCUGUAAUCCCAGCACUUAGGCAGGCAGAGGCAGGUGGAUCACUUGAGGUCAGGAGUUCGAGACCAGCCUGGCCAGAAUGGCAAAACUCGUCUCUACUAGAAACACAAAAAUACACACACACAAAAAGAUUAUGGCUUACUAUUACCAAUAUUAAAAAACUGGUUAUGGUUCUACACAUUUUCUCAGGCACACACAGCAGAGGGUAGGGAUGACUGAGUCACAGGGAACUGGGAAUGAAGAAGGGCAGAGGGGACGGGACAUCCGGCCACCUCAGUAAAGAUCACAAAACCGACGCUUCACACACAGAACUUCACACUCUCACAAUCAGCAAAGAGUCACAAAACCGACACGGCACACACAGAGCUUCACACUCUCACAACAGCAGCAGCAAAGAGCUGUUUUUUUGUUUUCUGUUUUUUUUUUUAGAUAAAGUCUUGCUUUGUCUCCCAGGCUACAGUGCAGAGGUGCCAUCUUGGCUCACUGUAGCCUCAAACUCCUGGGCUCAAGCGAUUUUCCUACCCAAGCCUCUCAAGUAGCUGGGACUACAAGUGUGCACCACCAUAUCUGGCUAAUUUUUUAAUUUGUUGUUUUUUAGUAGAAAUAGGGGUCACGUUUUGUUGCCCAGGCUGGUCUUAAACUACUGGGUUCAAGUGAUCCCCCUGCCUCAGCCUCCCAAAUUGCUAGGAUCACAGGCGUGAGCCACCAAGCCCAGCUUUGCAAAGAGUCAUUUCAGACCAAAUGGCCUUUAACAUAUCAUUAUGGUAGUUCCCUUGCUUUCAGCCACAUUAUAUUUAGCCACUUUCUAUUUUAGCGAAUUGUUCUUGAUCACAGAACUGGCCAUGUCUCCUCUUCUGCAUCAGAAGCCCAGCUUGCAUCCUCCCAAACCCACCAGAGCCUUGAUGCUCCAUGAUUCUGUUGGGAAACUAACUCACCGACCCUAAUGACCGGAGACCCAGGGGAUUUCAACAGGACCAAUGACUGCAGCUUCUUACUGACCAUUAACUAGAAGCCACCCACAGCUUCUUAACAUGUGAAGUCCGCAGCAUGGCUGCUCACUUUAUCAAGCCAUCAAAGAGAGUCUCCAGAGACAGCCUGCUAGCAUGACGGAGUCUAAUCUAACAUAAUAUAUUCGUGGGAGUGACAGCAUCACCUUUGUUCUACUCUAUUGUCAAAAGCAAGUGGACUUCUGCUUCAGAGAAGAUGGAGUUGACGUACAUUUCCCUAUUUCUCCCAUUAAGUACAGCUAACAAUCUGAACAUGAUAUAUAAAACAAGCAUCAGAAUGCCCUGAAAGGUUGAGGGAAGAAGGUGGAACACCCAGGGACCUCAGGACCUGAGGAAGGAUUCAGCGAUGUGUUUGUAGGGUUUCCAUUUGGCCUUAUAUGUCCCAGACUUGGAGUUGCAUAAGCUGGCAAACUGCAGGGACCAGCAAGCACAGAUGAGGCUCAACAAAAGCUUUUUCUCUUUAGCCAAAUGACCAGGAAAAAGGCGGUUCACAAGACAGAAAAUGUGUAGAUAAUAGUAGUUCUACUUCAGCCAAAUGCCAAAGAAAAACUGUAGCCCCACGCUUAAUCUCAUCAGCAAAGACUGAGUGGGGGACCUAGAUUUCUGCCCAUGGGAGGCUGUAAUGAGGCAUCCAACACCCUCAUCAGGGUGGUGUUAAAGAAGUGGGACUUUGACUCCCACUAGCAGUAAUGAGGCCUCCAGCAGUAUCAGUGGAGACCACAGGGAAAGCCUGGGCUUCCAUUCCCACAUGGCAAUAAUGAGGUGCCCCUUGCUUUCCCUGCUGGAGUGGGAUCUGAGGAGGCCUCGUGGAGAGUCAUGUGCUCACCAUCACCCACUGUGGUGGAAGGGAGACCAUGGGAGAAGCUAGAGUUCUCAUCCUUUUCCAGCAGCAACAGAAGGCCUGCCCUUUGGGUGUCAACAAAAAAAACUCACUUUAAAUAUAAUGGUAUACAGUGGUUGAACAUUUUUAAAAAUGAAAAAUAAUAUCCAAUGAAACACCGAAAAAAAGAAAUUGAUUGGCUGUAUUAAUAAUAGAUAAAGCAAACUUCACAGCAAAUAAAUUUGCCAAGGAAAGAGAGGAACAUCACAUUAUGAUAAAGUGGUCAAUCCACCAAGAAGAUAUAGCAAUCCUAAAUGUGUAUGUACCAAACAAUAAAGUUGCAAAAUGUGAAGCAAAAACUGAUAGAGUUGAAAGAGAAAUGGAUAAAUCCAUAAUUAUAGUUGGCAACUUCAACUCCUCUCCCUCAACAGUUAGGUAGAACAACUAGACAUAAAAUCAGCAGGAAUGUAGAACUCACCAACAUCAUCAACCAGCAGGAUCUAAUCAAGCUUUACAAAAGACUUCACUAACAAGUAGCAAAAAGCAUCUUCUUUUCAAGUGGUCAUAAACAUAUAUUUAGGUAGACCGUAUCUUGAGCCAUAUAACAAGCCUCAACAAAUUUAAAAGAAUCAAAAUCAAGCAGAGUGUGUUCUCUAACUACAAUGGAAUUGAACUAGAAAUCAGUAACAGGAAGAUAAUGAGAAAAUCUUUGUGAUGUUCCUCUCUUUCCUUGGCAAAUUUAUUUGCUGUGAAGUUUGCUUUAUCUAUUAUUAAUACAGCCAAUCAAUUUCUUUUUUUCGGUGUUUACAUGGGAUAUUAUUUUUCAUUUUUAAAAAUGUUCAACCACUGUAUACCAUUAUAUUUAAAGUGAGUAUUUUGUUGACACCCAAAGGGCAAACUCCAGAAAACUAAAAAGUACACUUCUAAAUAAUCUAUUUGGGCAAAGAGGAAGACAGAGAAAGACAGAGUCUCAACGAAAAUAAAAAACAUACAUUGAACUAAAUCAAAAUAAAAAUAUAACACUUCCAAAUUCAUGGAUACAGAUAAAGCAGUACUGAGAGGAAUUAUAUAUAUAUAUACACACACACACAUACAUAUAUGCCAUAUAUAUAUAUAUAUAUGGCACUAAAUACAUACAUUAGAAGAGGUUAAAAGUUUCAAAUAAAUAAUCUAAGCUUCUAGUUCAGAAACCUAAAAAAAUUAAGAGCAAAAUAAACCCAAAACAAGAAAGAAGGAAAUACUAAAGACAAGAGCCAAAGUCCAUUACAUUGAAAACAGAAAAACAUAGAUAAAAUAAAUAAAUAAAAGAAUGAUCUAUUUCUUUGAAAAGGUCAAUAAAAAUGACAAAAACCUAACAAGAUUGAUAAAGAAAAAAGAGAAGGUAUAAGUCACCAAUAUCAGAAAUAAAAUAGGAUACACAACAGAUCUUGCAGUCAUCAAAACACUACAAACAACUCUACAUACAUAAAUUUAACAGCUUAUAUGAAAUGGAUCAAUUCCUUCAAAACCACAAACUAUCAGAAGUCACUGUAUAUGAAAUAAAUAAUUUAAAUAGCCCUAUAAGUAUUAAGGGAAUUAAAUUCAUAAUUGAAAAUCUGCCCCCAAAAGACAUAUAUAGUCUGAAAUAGUUUCACUAGAGAAUUUCACCAAAUGUUUAAAGUAGAAUUAAUGCCAAUACUACACAAUCUAUUCCACAAAAUAAUAGAGAAGGGAACACUUACUAAUUCAUUUUUUAAUGCUGUUUUUACCACAUCCACAAAUGUAGUACAAAAAAGAGAAAAAUACAGGCCAAUAUUUCUUAUAAAUAUAGAUCCAAAAUUCCUUAAUGACAUAUUAGCUAACGGAAUUGAGCAAUAUCUGAAAAAAAUAUUAUAAACCAUGACAAAGAGAGUUUUAUUGCAGGGAUGCAAGGCUGGUUCACUGUAAUCCAUUGUAUUAACAAGGUAAGGAUGCUACAGAAAAAGAUCAUAUCAACAAAUGCAAAAAGUCACUUGACAAAAUUCAAUAUCCAUUCAAGACAAAAACUCAGAAAAAUAGGAAUAGAGGAGGACUUCCUCAACUUGAAAAGAAAUACCAAUUAAAAGCUACAACUAACA
rnacentral:lncRNA from 10 species